rnacentral:rRNA from 1 species
UACGUAGGGGGCAAGCGUUGUCCGGAAUCAUUGGGCGUAAAGCGCGUGUAGGCGGCUCGGAAAGUCUGGUGUGAAAUCUUGAGGCUCAACCUCAAGCUGUCACUGGAUACUGUCGAGCUUGAGUCCGGAAGAGGAGUGUGGAAUUCCUGGUGUAGCGGUGGAAUGCGCAGAUAUCAGGAGGAACACCAAUGGCGAAGGCAGCACUCUGGUACGUGACUGACGCUGAGACGCGAAAGCGUGGGGAGCAAACAGG